AUUGAACGCUGGCGGCAGGCCUAACACAUGCAAGUCGAGCGAGCGGCGGACGGGUGAGUAAUGUAUGGGGACUGCCCGAUCGAGGGGGAUAACUACUGGAAACGGUAGCUAAUACCGCAUACUAUCGGAUAACCCAUAUGGGAUUAGCUAGUAGGUGAGGUAAUGGCUCACCUAGGCGACGCUACCUAGCUGGUCUGAGAGGAUGAUCAGCCAAACUGUGACUUAGACACGGCCCAGACUCCUACGGAGGCAGCAGUGGGGAAUAUUGCACAAUGGGCGCAAGCCUGAUGCAGCCAUGCCGCGUGUAUGAAGAAGGCCUUAUGGUUGUAAAGUACUUUCAGUCGGGAGGCGUUACCGACAGAAGAAGCACCGGCUAACUCCGUGCCAGCAGCCGCGAUAAUAC
rnacentral:rRNA from 1 species